GAUGAACGCUGGCGGCGUGCCUAAUACAUGCAAGUCGAGCGAACGGACGAGAAGCUUGCUUUUCUGAUGUUAGCGGCGGACGGGUGAGUCACACGUGGAUAACCUACCUAUAAGACUGGGAUAACUUCGGGAAACCGGCGCUAAUACCGGAUAAUAUUUUGAACCGCAUGGUUCAAAAGUGAAAGACGGUCUUGCUGUCACUUAUAGAUGGAUCCGCGCUGCAUUAGCUAGUUGGUAAGGUAACGGCUUACCAAGGCAACGAUGCAUAGCCGACCUGAGAGGGUGAUCGGCCACACGGGAACUGAGACACGGUCCAGACUCCUAAGGGAGGCAGCAGUAGGGAAUCUUCCGCAAUGGGCGAAAGCAUGACGGAGCAACGCCGCGUGAGUGAUGAAGGUCUUCGGAUCGUAAAACUCUGUUAUUAGGGAAGAACAUAUGUGUAAGUAACUGUGCACAGCGUGACGGUACCUAAUCAGAAAGCCACGGCUAACUACGUG
rnacentral:rRNA from 1 species